rnacentral:rRNA from 1 species
UACGGAGGGUGCGAGCGUUGUCCGGAAUCACUGGGCGUAAAGGGCGCGUAGGCGGUCUGCUAAGCGUGCGGUGAAAGCCUGGGGCUCAACCCCAGGUCUGCCGUGCGAACUGGUGGACUAGAGCACUGUAGAGGCAGGUGGAAUUCCGGGUGUAGCGGUGGAAUGCGUAGAGAUCCGGAAGAACACCGGUGGCGAAGGCGGCCUGCUGGGGCAGUUGCUGACGCUGAGGCGCGCAGCGUGGGGGAGCAAACAGG